CAUUCAUCAAUAUUUUUCUAAAAUUAAGUACUUAAUACAGAAAGGCAGUAGAAAUUGUACUCAAUGUUCAAUUAAAAUUUUAUUUCUCAAACUUUGCAGCAGCAUUCAGACAUCGCAUUGUAAAUCCAUACUAUUAAGGCUUCCCUACUCAACCUAUGGCCAAUUAAUAUAAAUCACCCAGAGAUAAGCCCAAGCAUUCACUGUAGUUGAUGGUUUAGCCCUUCAAAACUAAACUUUCAGCAUCUUUCAACCCCUAAUAUCAAAUCUGCCAUAAAGAUUAAAUGAUUAUUACCUACUUGAAUUUAUAAAUAAACAGCUCGAACAUGAAAUCUCUUACCAUACAGUCAACUUUCAACUUAAAGAUAGAGUUUAGAAAGCUUUAUCUCCUUCAAAAUGUGGUGGUUUAUGUUGGGUGAGGGCUGAUCAUGCAUCAAAUACAAAUAAAACAUAGCGAAAAUAAAUUUAAAAAAUUAAAUUACGCUUCACCUUCCUAAAAUCUCUUUCAUGUCAAAUUGAGUACAAAAUUAAAUUAAAAUAAAAGUAUGUGAUCAUAUCACUUUACCUAAAUAACAAAGGUUGAUGAAUUCUUUGUUAAACCACCAAAUAAGGCUUAAAAAAGCUCAACCACCUUAGCCCGAUUGUUGCAAACCAAAGUUGUCCAAGGAAUCCUUGUGUAGCCUUUAAUGGUGAUCCACACCAAUGAAUGAGAAAAUCUUUCUUUAAAGAUUCAGAAUGCUAUGCCUUGACAAUGUGCUAGCAAAGAUGAGUUUCAUAAACUCAUAAUCCACACAAAAUUGUGGGGCUGAACACACAAAAAAAAUGAAUGAAAAAUUAUUUUUUCUUCACAUAAGGAAUGGCAAGACAAAAGAAUUUCUAAUGUGCCGUU
rnacentral:lncRNA from 1 species